rnacentral:piRNA from 1 species
UGAGGGACCCAGGAGCCUGCAGAGGAA